CCCUGCAAUUUGUGACAUUGUCAAGAGGUUUGCCUUCAAAAAGGCCAGAAAUAGCCUGGUUAUGCAUGUGAAAGGGUACAACUUAAGUGUAAACAACAAAGCGAUAGGGAAAAUGGCUGUAUAAGACAUGCGACAUAUUUACUGUCGCAUGUGACAUUUCUUCGUGUUUUUUGUAAAGGUUUAAACUUCAUCUACAUCAUUUAUGUGAGUCCGAUUUGGAAAGAUCGGCAGGGAUACAUGUUUUCAUCAAGUAUAUAUUUCUCCUUUGAGUUACUCAUUUUGUUGUCUUACUUUGACCUUUGAUAACGUAUAAGGCCGACAGUGCUGUUUUAUUGAAGGGGAGAACACGAAAACCAUGAUGGAAAAAAGCGUUGCAGUAGUUAAAGAGAUCGGUCUUAUAUAGACUUUCACGAUCAAAUCUGUGUGGGCUACGAGUAUACCGUACUUAACGUAAAUUUCAAAAGAAAGCAUUUCAAGAUAUGCGACAGGUUUAGAGUAACAUAGAAAACUACUAUUUCCUUGUUGAUUUUAGCCUACGUGUAACCCUCCUUCCUUAUAGUACACGUACUAUGUUCAAUGUAAGUCCGAUUUGGAAGGGAUCGGCAAGGAUUAAGAUGGCAUUUUGUCAUCUUUAUGUCACUUGAAUUUCUUUUAAUGGUUGUUUAUAGUGUGCGAGUUAUAUGCACUUUCCAAAGCAACCUGCCAUUAUCAGCGUCGGCAUAUUAUAAAGUGAUCGUGUCUGUUUUAAAAAGGAAAUAAUGGAAACAUGGGUAGAAUCGUUUGGUUUCCAUUGGGUCCUACCCAUGACCUGGUAAUAGGUAGGCUUAGACAUAAUUAUUGGCUACAUUUGCAAUGUUUCAGUUCAGUAACAAAUGGGCUAGGCCCGGUGUUUUCGUACCCCUGUCCACUUACGAAAGAGUUGCAGCUUUCAUCAAAGAAACUAAUGAUCUAAAAGUUGAGACAGACUGGAUGAGCUAGGCUGCUUUGUCUGGACGAAAAUGAACCCUCCAAGGCUCCAACAGCCUCAUCACACAGAAACUAGAGGAACCGGAAGCAGGAAGGAGGACCGACAGAUGAACGGAUGACCUGCUUGCUGGGCUUCGCAUUACUGAUUCUUGAAAGAAAUGAGGACCACUGACUGAUGAGGGAAUUGUCUUACUGAGAUGAGGAUGAGCCUGCCUCAAGCCAUCGUAAGCUGGGAGGACCGACGAUGGACUGACACCGCCUGCUGGCCUGGCCACUUCUGAUUCUUGAGGACAUUAGGACCACCAAGCUUGGACGAGACUGGACAAUGACGAAGCUGCUCUACUGGACAAGGAUGCCCUCAUCGGAAACUUGAGAAAAAAAACUAGCUUGCAUAAUAUGAAAUGAUAAAUCAGACUGCAUAAUGCAACGUCAUUAAUGUUGUACACUAAGGCAACACCACUAAAAUGAAAUGAAAAGUAAUUUUGAUUUCAUUAAAUUAUUUAUGCCUCUAAAAUAAUCUGAAACCGGAUACUGCAACAGACAGUUAACAAUGGACAAUAAUGGAAACUUGCUGAAAAAUUAUUGUAAGGGUAAUGAUUUGUCACUGGCUUUUUAGCAGUGCCAUGUCUGGGAGAAGGGAUGUUCCUUUGAUCUGUCCUGGGUCAUCCAAAAUUAUUGCAUCAAUAAGUUAAUAAUUUCAUACUACCUUUAAUGCAUUCAAUUGGAUCUUCUCGGUAAAUUAUAAACGAGGUCUCGCCUAAGGCUUUCUAUUUGCUUUUUGUUCAGUUGACAAUGGAGAAUUUUGCUUUAUAAAUUUAAUUUGAUAUUGAAAGUGCAUUUUUAAAAAACCAAUUUAAGUCAUAAGAGUUUUGAAAGAUUUCAAAAAUGAUUAAUUUAUUGUUUAAAAACUGAAGAAAUGUAACAAACUUUAUUUAAAUUUAACGUCUUUAACAAGACGUCGGUUAAACUAAAACGUGACUUUCUUUCCAUUGUAUAUUUAUUAGAAAACACAAGAACGUUUAAUUUUUAGGAAAAUUUAAAGAAUAAACUGUUCAGGAACUUCUAUCCAUCAAAAUGCAUUGCAACAGGUAUGAAUGACACUCAAA